GCGGAAGUAGCUCAGUUGAUAGAGCAUUAGCCUUCCAAGCUGAGGGUCGCGGGUUUGAGUCCCGUUUCCCGCU
rnacentral:tRNA from 1 species